UACAGAGGGUGCGAGCGUUAUCCGGAAUCAUUGGGCGUAAAGCGUAUGUAGGCGGAUUUGUAAGUCGGGGGUAAAAUCUCUCCGCUCAACGGAGAAUUUGUUUCCGAAACUACAUUUCUUUGAAGCAUGCAGAGGUAGGUGGAAUUCUGAGUGUAGGGGUAAAAUCCGUAGAUACUCGGAGGAACGCCGAAAGCGAAAGCAGCCUACUGGGCAUGUCUUGACGCUGAGAUACGAAAGCGUGGGGAGCAAACAGG
rnacentral:rRNA from 1 species